rnacentral:rRNA from 1 species
UACAGAGGUCUCAAGCGUUGUUCGGAUUCAUUGGGCGUAAAGGGUGCGUAGGCGGCGCGGUAAGUCGGGUGUGAAAUCUUGGAGCUUAACUCCGAAACUGCAUUCGAUACUGCCGUGCUUGAGGACUGGAGAGGAGACUGGAAUUUACGGUGUAGCGGUGAAAUGCGUAGAUAUCGUAAGGAAGACCAGUGGCGAAGGCGGGUCUCGUGGA